rnacentral:rRNA from 1 species
UACGUAGGGGGCAAGCGUUACUCGGAUUCACUGGGCGUAAAGCGCGUGUAGGCGGCUGGUCAAGCGUGGUGUGAAAUCUCCGGGCUCAACCCGGAAACUGCAUUGCGAACUGGCCUGGCUAGAGUGCAGGAGAGGGCAGCGGAAUUCCCGGUGUAGUGGUGAAAUGCGUAGAUAUCGGGAGGAACACCAGUGGCGAAGGCGGCUGCCUGGCCUGCAACUGACGCUGAGACGCGAAAGCGUGGGGAGCGAACCGG